CACGUAGGCACCAAGCGUUGUCCGGAUUUAUUGGGCGUAAAGAGCUCGUAGGCGGUUCGGUAAGUCGGGUGUGAAAACUUUGGGCUCAACCCAAAGCGUGCACUCGAUACUGCCGUGACUAGAGUUCGGUAGGGGAGCGGGGAAUUCCUAGUGUAGCGGUGAAAUGCGCAGAUAUUAGGAGGAACACCGAUGGCGAAGGCAGCCAUCUGGACCGACACUGACGCUGAGGCGCGAAAGCGUGGGGAGCAAACAGG
rnacentral:rRNA from 1 species